GUGCCGGUGGUGUAAGGCGUAGCAUCGCUGCCCGGAAAGCAGAAGGUGCCGGUUCGAGUUCCGCCUGGCGCA
rnacentral:tRNA from 1 species